GAUGAACGCUGGCGGCGUGCCUAAUACAUGCAAGUCGAGCGAACAGACGAGGAGCUUGCUCCUCUGACGUUAGCGGCGGACGGGUGAGUAACACGUGGAUAACCUACCUAUAAGACUGGGAUAACUUCGGGAAACCGGAGCUAAUACCGGAUAAUAUAUUGAACCGCAUGGUUCAAUAGUGAAAGACGGUUUUGCUGUCACUUAUAGAUGGAUCCGCGCCGCAUUAGCUAGUUGGUAAGGUAACGGCUUACCAAGGCGACGAUGCGUAGCCGACCUGAGAGGGUGAUCGGCCACACUGGAACUGAGACACGGUCCAGACUCCUUCGGGAGGCAGCAGUAGGGAAUCUUCCGCAAUGAGCGAAAGCCUGACGGAGCAACGCCGCGUGAGUGAUGAAGGUCUUCGGAUCGUAAAACUCUGUUAUUAGGGAAGAACAAAUGUGUAAGUAACUAUGCACGUCUUGACGGUACCUAAUCAGAAAGCCACGGCUAACUACGUG
rnacentral:rRNA from 1 species